AGAGCUUCUUCCUAAGAUCCCAUCUCAAUCUCCCUUAUGUCAUGUUAAAGACAUUCCCCCUUGUCCUGUCUGUGCUUAAUCUGGUUCAGGAAACACACCUCUGUGCUAAACAUGGAAGCUUGCACUGCGUACGGAAAGAGAACUAUGCAAAUGGAACGUGUUCUUUUUCUCAGGUGCAAAGGGAAGACAUGCAUCAUGAGCCCAGCAUCCUAAACCAUGUUAUACUUUAAUAAAUAGGAUUUCAAGACCUUCCUGAAAGAAAAGGAAUGUCCUGUGUCAUAACUGAGUCUGUUUGUACUUGGAGGAUUUGCAAACUGGAGGCUUAAUUAAUCUCCUGUGUUUGUGUAAAGUCACAACCGUUUAUGUCACAUGGAGCUACGCUAGCAGAUAUAGUCUUGUUAGAUAUAUAGAGUAUUUAGACUUGUGAUUUGCUUGAUUUGUGUUCCGUUAAGCCUGUUGCUAAGCCAGAGAAGUUUGGUAACUAGGAUGUGGACAUAGAUAUAUGAGACUAUCCAAGCGAAACAGUACUCCUCAGAUUACUUCAAAGCAGAACUUUUAAGAUAAGAAACGAAGAUGCAUACCAGUACCAGUCAGAGAGAGAUAAGGAGAAUGCUGGUGCAAGCACCAUCGUUGGAACCUAUCCAGGACUCGAAAGGUGAAAAGUACACAGCGAGGAAGACGUCUUACUUCAUCUGAGGAAGACUACUUACUUCAUCUUGAGACCCCUGCCCACGACCACCAGGAGGCACUGCGCAAGCGCAGAACAUAUGGAAAUGACUUUUGUACUCAUUAUAAUACGAAGCGGGGAUAGGUCAUGAAUAUGUAUCAGCAUGUUGGGAAAGGUGAUGCAUAUGUAAUACUUUACAGCAUAAAUUGUGAACACGUUGUGAUGGUCUUUGGAACCAGAUUUGGGUGUGUACCCCUGGUUCCCGGGGCCUCGAAAUAAAGCACCACAUAUAACCUCCUUAGAGUGGUUAUGUGUUCUUCUCUCAGCUAACAGUUUUGGCGACCCAGAUAGGACCUCGCGAGCAUUGCUGAGGCGGCUCGCGCAUCGAUCCAGCUCCAGCCGGCACCGAGUGAUUCUCGGGGAGCCAUCGACCGCGACCGACCUCCGGUGCUCUCGACGGACCAACAGCAUUGUAGAACUUUGAUCCGGUUGCGUAGUGCCCUGAUCUGGAACAGACCGCUCUCGUUGGAGACUCCAGUACACGAGAUCGAGCCAGGAGACCAGGUCUACGUUCGUGAUUGGAGCGAGGAACCACUUAAGGAACGGUGGAAUGGACCGUACCUGGUGCUGCUAACUACCUUCACCGCUGUAAAAGUGGAAGGAAUUGACUCCUGGGUUCACUACACUAGAGUGAAGAAAGUCCCGAAACAUUGUCGAAUCAGAAGCCUUAGGACCUACAAAACUGAGGCUGAAAUGCAGAUAAGAUGUCAUGUUAUAUGUAUAGCACUUUAAUUGUGAUUUGGUCAGUCUUACCUAUAAUAAUUGUUGGUUCCUUAGAAGUUUCAUUGAAAAGGGAGGUGGUGACGUAUGUUGUUGGACAAAAUGCCACUCUGUCUUGCAGGUUUACCAUGCCAAUGGGAGGAGAACUAAUAAGGGUUAUCUGGGAAAAGGAAUCGGAAAAUUUUGAAGCACCUGAGAUAAUUUUCGACAGCAAGGACAAAGGAUUAGUGGGGCAUGAGCAGGAGUUGCAGGAAAAUUGGCAAUCUAGAAGUAAAGUAAUGAACAGGUUCUGUUCACGAAAUCUUACUGAAGGAGAGACUAAAUUAAGGAUAGCCAAUCUGACUGAACAAAUGCGGGGAAAAUAUCGUUGUCUGGUCAAGACAAACAAUAGUGCAGACUACGGUGAGAAGAUAAUAUACAUUACUAAAACUAGAGUCAGACGAGCUAUAAAACUGACCGAAUCACCCCAGAUAAUUCAAGUACCCCAACGUGAUCCGGAGGAAAACCUAAUGAUAGGAUUAAUCAAGGAUUUCGCAAAAAUGCAAAAUACGAGUAGAAUAACGGCAUGCCUCCCAAUACCAAAAGCAGCUGGAGAACCAAUUGAGUGGGGAAUAAUAACAAUACCAUUCCCAGAAGGAAACGAGGCAGUUAAGUGUCAGGAAAAGGAGAUAAUAAAAACCGAUACAAGCCCCGGCUGAUGGAAUAAACUGCAGAUAUUUGAUGAUACAUAGCAUGGGACAUCUUGUUUGGGCACUCAGUGGUGGUACCUGGACCACCCACCUUCCAAUAACAGGGCCAGUGCGGGAAAUUACCUUAGGACUCCCCACUUUGUGUCCAGUUUGGAAGCGUUCCCCGUUCAGGGGCAAACUAGAAACUUUGCAGAUUCAAACCAAAAGAAGUAUUGAUGAUGACAUUGACAAUAUAGAUGACACUUGGCAAGAGCCUGAGACUGGAGUGAAAGUAAGAUGGGCACUUGAAUCCCUUUUUGCUCAAAUAGCUGCAUAUCGCAAUAGGGAAAUGAUUUAUAAUUUAAUUGGACAAACUGAGAGAUUGGCCAAGGUGACUAAAAAGGCUUUAGGGAUCUAAAUUUGCAAUUACAGGCAACAACCAAAAUGACUCUGCAAAACAGAAUGGCAUUAGACACAUUGCUGUUGAAGAAACAUGGUGUUUGUGGAUAUCUCAAAGAUAGAAUCGUUCACUGCUGUGUACAUAUACCAACUGUAACUGCAGAUAUAGAAUAUGACAUUGCUCAAUUAGGGAAAAUUGAAAAGGAAGCUGAAAAGGAAAAAGAAGAAAUAAGUCAAAAUUGGGUAGGAGCAUUAUUUGAUGGAUUGGGAAUCCACCUGACUGGAUGGAUUCAUUCCCUCAUAGAGACAGUGUUUACUCUAUUACUUGUGUUCCUCGCAAUCUAUUUGGUAUAUUUUUGUAUUCGAAGAGAAAUAACCCGGAAUACCAGUUGGACACAUAAAAUCAUUGGAGCGGUGACUCGAGAAUAUCCACGACACCCAAUAACUCCUCCUCUUACCUAUCAGGAAACUACUAGAUGAGUGAAAAUACUUGCAAAAGAUGAAGUAUUUUCAAAGGGGGGAAAUGUUAGAUAUAUAGAGUAUUUAGACUUGUGAUUUGUUUGAUUUGUGUUCCGUUAAGCCUGUUGCUAAGCCAGAGAAGUGUGGUAACUAGGAUGUGGACAUAGAUAUAUGAGACUAUCCAAGUGAAACAGUACUCCUCAGAUUACUUCAAAGCAGAACUUUUAAGAUAAGAAACGAAGAUGCAUACCAGUACCAGUCAGAGAGAGAUAAGGAGAAUGCUGGUGCAAGCACCAUCGUUGGAACCUAUCCAGGACUCGAAAGGUGAAAAGUACACAGCGAGGAAGACGUCUUACUUCAUCUGAGGAAGACUACUUACUUCAUCUUGAGACCCCUGCCCACGACCACCAGGAGGCACUGCGCAAGCGCAGAACAUAUGGAAAUGACUUUUGUACUCAUUAUAAUACGAAGCGGGGAUAGGUCAUGAAUAUGUAUCAGCAUGUUGGGAAAGGUGAUGCAUAUGUAAUACUUUACAGCAUAAAUUGUGAACACGUUGUGAUGGUCUUUGGAACCAGAUUUGGGUGCGUACCCCUGGUUCCCGGGGCCUCGAAAUAAAGCACCACAUAUAACCUCCUUA